UAGGGAAUCUUCGGCAAUGGACGAAAGUCUGACCGAGCAACGCCGCGUGAGUGAAGAAGGUUUUCGGAUCGUAAAACUCUGUUGUUAGAGAAGAACAAGGACGUUAGUAACUGAACGUCCCCUGACGGUAUCUAACCAGAAAGCCACGGCUAACUACGUGCCAGCAGCCGCGGUAAUACGUAGGUGGCAAGCGUUGUCCGGAUUUAUUGGGCGUAAAGCGAGCGCAGGCGGUUUCUUAAGUCUGAUGUGAAAGCCCCCGGCUCAACCGGGGAGGGUCAUUGGAAACUGGGGGACUUGAGUGCAGAAGAGGAGAGGGGAAUUCCAUGUGUAGCGGUGAAAUGCGUAGAUAUAUGGAGGAACACCAGUGGCGAAGGCGGCUCUCUGGUCUGUAACUGACGCUGAGGCUCGAAAGCGGGGGGAGCAAACAGG
rnacentral:rRNA from 1 species